rnacentral:rRNA from 1 species
ACGGGUGAGUAACACGUGGGCAACCUGCCCUUGAGACUGGGAUAACUUCGGGAAACCGGAGCUAAUACCGGAUAAUAUAAGGAACCUCCUGGUUCCUUAUUGAAAGAUGGUUUCGGCUAUCACUUAAGGAUGGGCCCGCGGCGCAUUAGCUAGUUGGUGAGGUAACGGCUCACCAAGGCGACGAUGCGUAGCCGACCUGAGAGGGUGAUCGGCCACACUGGGACUGAGACACGGCCCAGACUCCUACGGGAGGCAGCAGUAGGGAAUUUUCCACAAUGGACGAAAGUCUGAUGGAGCAACGCCGCGUGAGUGAUGAAGGCCUUCGGGUCGUAAAGCUCUGUUGUUAGGGAAGAACAAGUGCGAGAGUAACUGCUCGCACCUUGACGGUACCUAACCAGAAAGCCACGGCUAACUACGUGCCAGCAGCCGCGGUAAUACGUAGGUGGCAAGCGUUAUCCGGAAUUAUUGGGCGUAAAGCGCGCGCAGGUGGUUUCUUAAGUCUGAUGUGAAAGCCCACGGCUCAACCGUGGAGGGUCAUUGGGAAACUGGGGA